rnacentral:rRNA from 1 species
GGUAAGCCCAGGGCAGGAGCCGCGGUAGAACGGCGGGGGCAAGCUGUAAGCGGCAUAACUGGGCUGAAAGCGCACGCAGGCGGUUAGAGAAGUCAGAUGUGAAAGCCCCGGGCUCAACCUUGGAACUGCAUUUGAAACGGUCUGACUAGAGUCUUGUAGAGGGGGGUAGAAUUCCAGGUGUAGCGGUGAAAUGCGUAGAGAUCUGGAGGAAUACCGGUGGCGAAGGCGGCCCCCUGGACAAAGACUGACGCUCAGGUGCGAAAGCGUGGGGAGCAAACAGGAUUAGAUACGCGGGUAGUC